GGGAUAGUCAUGGUUUCGACAGGCUAUUUGAAGUAUUUGUAGCAUGCCAUGGUUGCGCAUGUAAAAACGCCGAGGUUAAAUUAACCGCAAAUCAAAAUUUAUCUUUUGCUGCCUAAUUAAAUAAGUAGCAUGCCUGUUGUAGAAUCCCCCUUAAGUUUUAUAAACGGGCUCAGAAUUAAGGGAUGAGUCUUUGAGUUUACCUUGGCUCUUUGAUUCGAGAUUAUAAGGUUAGCUGAUUGUCUAUUUGUUUAUUGUUAGAUAAGCAGUGAAAAUAAGACAAUAAAAUAAGCAUGUAGAAAUAAAUAUGGAUUGUAGUUUGGACAGGGGUUCGACUCCCCUCUAUUCCACCA
rnacentral:tmRNA from 1 species